AGAGUUUGAUCCUGGCUCAGAACGAACGUUAGCGGCGCGCCUAACACAUGCAAGUCGAACGAGAAAGGGAGCAAUCCCCGGUACAGUGGCGCACGGGUGAGUAACACGUAGGUAAUCUGCCCUUGGGUGUUGGAUAACCUUCCGAAAGGAGGGCUAAUACAGCGUAAGUCCACGAGCACGAAAGUGCUUGAGGUCAAAGUAGGCCUCUGUAAACAAGCUUACGCCUGAGGAUGAGCCUGCGGCCCAUCAGCUAGUUGGUAGGGUAAUGGCUUACCAAGGCAAAGACGGGUAGCUGGUCUGAGAGGAUGAUCAGCCACACUGGAACUGAGACACGGUCCAGACUCCUACGGGAGGCAGCAGUGGGGAAUCUUGCGCAAUGGGGGAAACCCUGACGCAGCGACGCCGCGUGAGUGAUGAAGGCCUUCGGGUUGUAAAGCUCUGUGGGGAGAGACGAAUAAGUGUAGUCGAAUAGACUGCAUGAUGACGGUAUCUCCUUAGCAAGCACCGGCUAACUCUGUGCCAGCAGCCCGCGGUAAGACAGAGGGUGCAAACGUUGUUCGGAAUGACUGGGCGUAAAGCGUAUGUAGGCGGCUUUGCAGGUCGGAUGUGAAAUCCCUUGGCUCAACCCAAGGAAGUGCAUUCGAAACCGCAGAGCUUGAGUGCCUGAAAAGGAAGGUGGAAUUCUCGGUGGUA
rnacentral:rRNA from 1 species